rnacentral:rRNA from 1 species
UACAGGGGGGGCAAGCGUUGUUCGGAAUUACUGGGCGUAAAGGGCUUGUAGGUGGCCAACUAAGUCACACGUGAAAUCCCCAGGCUUAACCUGGGAACUGCGUGUGAUACUGGAUGGCUUGAAUCCGGGAGAGGGAUGCGGAAUUCCAGGUGUAGCGGUGAAAUGCGUAGAUAUCUGGAGGAACACCGGUGGCGAAGGCGGCAUCCUGGACCGGUAUUGACACUGAAAAGCGAAAGGCAGGGGAG